rnacentral:rRNA from 1 species
CAGUCGCCACGGGAAUACGGAGGGAGCUAGCGUUGUUCGGAAUUACUGGGCGUAAAGCGCACGUAGGCGGCUAUUCAAGUCAGGGGUGAAAGCCCGGGGCUCAACCCCGGAACUGCCUUUGAAACUAGAUAGCUUGAAUCUUGGAGAGGCGAGUGGAAUUCCGAGUGUAGAGGUGAAACUCGUAGAUAUUCGGAGGAACACCAGUGGCGAAGGCGGCUCACUGGUCCAUUACUGACGCUGAGGUGCGAAAGCGUGGGGAGCAAACAGGAUUAGAUACCCCAGUAGUCCCUGUCUCUUAUAC